GUUCACUUAGUUUCAGAGCAGGAAAGACCUGAACAAAUCAUCUCAGCUGCCUACUGACAGGUGCCAUGAACUAUUAAGGUUAUUUUAAGUCUUUCAUCAAAUUCUAGUAUGGACAAGAAUACUGUUAAGUGUUCACAGCUACAAGGAAAGAAAAUGGCCUCUUACGAUCAUUAUGACCUGCUACUGCACUAGCUCAGCUGCAGUGGCUGAUGCAUGGAGGAGGGAAGAUAGCUGAGGUUUUGCCCCUUCCCAUAUUCUUCUGCUGUGGAAGCAAUUUAGGAAUGAAUACCAGAGACUGUGGAAAGACCAUACUGAUAAAAGGAGGGAGGAAACCAAAAGGCUGAACAAGUCUUUAUUCUCAUUGUAGCUGAUAUAUGACAUUACAGUGUAUUCCUCAUAAUCCUUGUAUGGAGAAGAUUUAUUUUCAA